rnacentral:lncRNA from 1 species
UGAGCCCCGUAGGGCCGGGGAGGCACCAGCUGCCGCGCGGGGAGGAGGCCGAGGCCGCAGCUCGAGGGAGGCCCCGGCCCUCUGCGCCUGUGUCUGGCAGAGCCGGUGUGAGAAGAAGAGAGAAUCCUUCCCCGCCGCCGGGAUAAUCAAGAGUUUUGGCCGGACCUUUGAGUACACAUCGGGAUAGUGAGAAGCCCGGCGAAAAGCACAGACUAUGGCGCUGAAACGGAUUAAUAAGGAACUUAGUGAUUUGGCCCGUGACCCUCCAGCACAAUGUUCUGCAGGUCCAGUUGGAGAUGACAAAUGACAGCCCAUAUCAAGGUGGUGUAUUCUUUUUGACAAUUCAUUUUCCUACAGACUACCCCUUCAAACCACCUAAGGUUGCAUUUACAACAAGAAUUUAUCAUCCAAAUAUUAACAGUAAUGGCAGCAUUUGUCUUGAUAUUCUAAGAUCACAGUGGUCUCCUGCUUUAACUAUUUCUAAAGUUCUUUUAUCCAUUUGUUCACUGCUAUGUGAUCCAAACCCAGAUGACCCCCUAGUGCCAGAGAUUGCACGGAUCUAUAAAACAGACAGAGACAAGUACAACAGAAUAUCUCGGGAAUGGACUCAGAAGUAUGCCAUGUGAUGCUACCUUAAAGUCAGAAUAACCUGCAUUAUAGCUGGAAUAAACUUUAAAUUACUGUUCCUUUUUUGAUUUUCUUAUCCGGCUGCUCCCCUAUCAGACCUCAUCUUUUUUAAUUUUAUUUUUUGUUUCCCUCCCUCCAUUCAUUCACAUGCUCAUCU